rnacentral:lncRNA from 1 species
GCUGGGGGAAGACUGGCAAGAGGAACUCUGCACAUGAGGCUGAAUGCACACAUGACUCUUAGGAAAGUGGUCCAGGGCUGAGAGCUGGCACCAGCUGCGUGAGCCUGAGGAGGCUCUGCCAGCAGACAAUGUUCCUAUGGGAAUGCAUAAGUCAGGGCUCUCCAGAGAGACAGAACCAAGAGGAGAUACAGACAUAAAGAGAUUUAUUUUAAGAAACUGGCUCAUGAGAUUGUGGGGGCUGGCAAGUCCAAAAUCUACAGGGCAGGCAGGCAGGCUGGAAACUCAGGCAGGAGUUGAGGCUGCAGCUUUGAGGCAGAAUUUCUUCUCCUCCAGGAAACCUCAGUUUUU